ensembl:lncRNA
GUAGCAGAUUGUUUCUUGUAAAAUAUUACUAGUUUGGUGUUAAGAACUUUUAUACCAAAGAGAGCCUGCUGGAAAGCACAUAAUAUUCUGAAGUUUUAUUUAACACCACUAGUAAUGUGGCGCUUUGGGGAAGAUUUGAGAGCUGUAGCACUUGUGCAUUUCCUUCCUUCAGUGAUCUUAGUCCUACUGGGGAAAGUGGCAUUAAGUUUGUGGACCACAAGCCUUACAGUUUUCCUUUAUAAUGAGGAAUCUGUUGUUUUUGGCAAUAGGAGAGUGUUUGGUUAACACCGUAACUAGCUGUGAACCUUUUACUGUACUUUUGCUCUCAGUUCUUUUUAAUCUUUUCCAAGAUUAAUACAGAGGAAAAGAUAUCAAUACAGAGGAAAAGAGUAAAAAGGCAUUUCUUCUUUUUUUUUACAUCAUUGGUGUCAACAACACUUUCUGUUGCUGUAACAUUAUCAAAAUGGUUUCUUGCUUAGUGCCACGCCCAUUUUUAAUUUUUCCUCCCCAAAUUCUAUAGCAAGACCUUUAAGGGCAGAGUUGUGCCUUUCCACCCAAAGAGAUAAAAUCAUAAUGCACCUCGCAGAAAUCCUGAAGAGUGUUUUUGAAAUUGGGUUUUAAAAACACUCAAGCAGUGAAGGCUUUCAGUUAAAAUUUUAGGGAAGUAAAUUCAAAAUGCUGGUUUGAAAGUUUCCCUAAAAUUUUAACUGAAAGCCUUCUUUACAUUGGAAAUCCACGGCUUGAGUAUUUUUAAAACCCAGUUGCUACAGGCCUCCCCCCCCUUCCUGCUUUAAACAUUUUGCAUGCAAGAAACCCACAGGUCCCCUACCCCUGACUUAAAAGGACAAUUAAAGCCCAUCAGAGUUAAUGGUUUAGAGUCAAGACAAUCUUUAGAAAUGGUUUUUAUCUGGUAACUCUGAUGGGCUUUAAUUGUCCUUUUAAGGGAUAAGAACCAUUUAAGGUCAUUUUGUUGCUCUGGCUAGUUUCAGAGCAACAAAAUGUUUUUUUAACAUCUGGGACAAUUCAUCAAGGUCAGUCUAGACCAGGCAUAGGCAAACUCCGGCCCUCCAGAUGUUUGGGACUCCAACUCGCAUCAUCCCUAGCUAACAGGAGUAGUGAUGAGGGGUGAUGAGAGUUGGAGUCCCAAACAUCUGGAGGGCUGCAGUUUGCCUAUGCCUGGUCUAGACUGACCUUGAUGAAUUGUCCCAGAUAUAUAAAAAAACAUUUUGUUGCUCUGAAACUAGCCAGGCCUAUUCUAAUGGUUCUGCCCGACCAAGGCCUCGUUUUCACAAAGAGCAGAUGUGGUUGCAAAGCCUGUGCCUGGACUCCUCUUUCUUUGGGCUGUAGGUGGGGGUGCACAUGAUGGGAUGUUCUGGCAUACCACCUCCACACCCCCAAAAGCAUAAUUCCCUGCACAUAAAAAGUGUCAAGCUAAUUAUAAUCUCUCCCCCCCCCCCAAGCAUGCAGAAAAUGAUGUAUGACACAACAUUGGCUUCGUGUUAGUCUCAAUUCACACACUGAACUGCAUUUGCUGUUUGUGAGAAUUAGGCCUUAGGCCCUAUCCUUUUCUCCCAUUGCAAUAUCCAGCUUGCCUCCCUGCGGAUGGAGAGAUGUAAGGCAAUAGCUGUGCAGUCUAUAUGUGAACAUACUAUUUUAGCAAAAGCAACGUUUUACGCAAAAUUAAACACUUAAAUGCUGGGGCUGCAUUUUUGCACGCAGCUGAAUGUGUGCAAGUCCUGUUGAAAUCUGUGGGACUUGCAUGUGUGCAACUGUUCAGUUCUGCAGCCGGUGGUGGGGGUUGCACAGUAAUUUGCCUUUUUUUGGUAAUAAGAUGAAAUGUUUCACCUAGUCACUCUUGAGAUGAAUUAAACCAAUUCCUUAGCGUUGUCCCUGACAGCUGAACUCUCAUCUCACAGCUAUUGAUACUCCACUGCAAAAUCAACUUCAGAGCUUUACUGCUUGCACAUAGUUGACCAGUGCAGCACUAUACCUCUGACUCAGUUUUUUAAUUUAAAAAAAUACAUGAAAUUAAAUUGCUUCUAGGUGAUUGGAUUGGCACAGCCCUGCUUUUUCAUUUUAAUUUUUAACUUAUGAAUGGUGCCGCAUGUUGACAUAGUUGUUUGUUGCUAAACUUUAUAUAAUGUGUGAUUUCAGAUUCAGCUUGAACUAUUAUCUAACUCACUACAUGUAGCAGUGCAUUAUAUGUAAUGUUAGUAUUUCUGCUUGAAUCCUUGGUAUUGCAAUGGAAUUCCUACUUUAUUAAAUGUAUUUGAUAUGCUAGUUUACUGUGUAGAAUUUAAAUUUUUUCUGGUUGUGCUCUUCCUUUUUACAAUCCGCUAGAUAAAGGUAGUUUCUGACAAUUACUGAUCUAUGUUUGUAUUGCCAAUGUACUUAGGGGGUAAUGUAAAAAUCAUUUUAACAAAAGGAAAUACAGAUAUUUAAAAAAAUUUAAUACUAACUAUAUGGGAAAAUGGUCCAUUGUGAAAACAUAGUUUAUCUUUGGAUUCAAUGUUUGUCUUUGGUUUUACAAAGUAGCUUGUAUUUUAAGUAUUUUCUACAUAAUAUGGUAAAAAUGUAGAACAAUUGCAAUGCAUCAAUAAAAAGGGUUAAUUUUCUGUACUCUAUUCAUUUGCUGUUUUAUGACUCGUGUUUUAUGGUUACAAGUCCCAAAGGCUAAUCUUAAUUUUAAUCUCAGUGGUAAAGCAUCCGCUUUGCAUGCAUAAGGUCCCAAGUUCAGUCUAUGACAUCUUUAGGUAUUGUUGGGGCAAGAAACCCCAGAGGGCAACUGAUAGUCAUUGCGCUUUGCUAGAAUGAACCAAUGGUCUGGCUCUGUAUAAGGCAGCUUCCUGUGUACCAA